GCCAGCGUGACUAGACACAGAAUGCUGUUACCUUCCGAUUGUGGUGGUACCUACUUGCAUUUUUACAUGCUUUCAAACUGCUAGGUUGGCAGGAAUUAAAACCAUACAACCCCCCUAUAUAUUAAAUAUAUAUAUAUUAAAUAAAAUAAAUAAUAAUACCAGUAUCAUCUGGUUAGAUGGGUUUAGUUGGAUUCUAGUUGGAUUCUCAUAUUUUCUUGUACCUAUUUUCACAAUCAGCUGGCCUAGAAUCAGUUCCAGUCUCCCUCCCACACUUUGCCUGCCCCACUAUUGUGACAUCACAGAGACCCACACUCUGGACUCAAAUUUUUCCCCUAACAUCCCAGGGAAUGAGAUACUGCUGCCUGAACAGCUGGAGACAGUCACCUCACUCUCCCUGAUGGGUAAAGACUGUUCCUGCUGCUCUAGGCUUCAGCUCUGA
rnacentral:lncRNA from 1 species